rnacentral:rRNA from 1 species
CCUACGGGAGGCAGCAGUGGGGUAUAUUGGACAAUGGGGGCAACCCUGAUCCAGCCAUGCCGCGUGUGUGAAGAAGGCCCUCGGGUUGUAAAGCACUUUCAGUGAGGAAGAACGCCUGGUGGUUAAUACCCAUCAGGAAAGACAUCACUCACAGAAGAAGCACCGGCUAACUCCGUGCCAGCAGCCGCGGUAAUACGGAGGGUGCGAGCGUUAAUCGGAAUUACUGGGCGUAAAGCGCGCGUAGGUGGCUUGAUAAGCCGGUUGUGAAAGCCCCGGGCUCAACCUGGGAACGGCAUCCGGAACUGUCAAGCUAGAGUGCAGGAGAGGAAGGUAGAAUUCCCGGUGUAGCGGUGAAAUGCGUAGAGAUCGGGAGGAAUACCAGUGGCGAAGGCGGCCUUCUGGACUGACACUGACACUGAGGUGCGAAAGCGUGGGUAGCAAACAGGAUUAGAUACCCUUGUAGUC